rnacentral:misc_RNA from 1 species
UACGUAGGGGGCAAGCGUUGUCCGGAAUUAUUGGGCGUAAAGCGCGCGCAGGCGGUCCUUUAAGUCUGAUGUGAAAUCUUGCGGCUCAACCGCAAGCGGCCAUUGGAAACUGGGGAACUUGAGAACUGAAGAGGAGAGCGGAAUUCCACGUGUAGCGGUGAAAUGCGUAGAGAUGUGGAGGAACACCAGUGGCGAAGGCGACUUUCUGGUCUGUAACUGACGCUGAGGCGCGAAAGCGUGGGGAGCAAACAGG